UAGGGAAUCUUCGGCAAUGGACGAAAGUCUGACCGAGCAACGCCGCGUGAGUGAAGAAGGUUUUCGGAUCGUAAAACUCUGUUGUUAGAGAAGAACAAGGACGUUAGUAACUGAACGUCCCCUGACGGUAUCUAACCAGAAAGCCACGGCUAACUACGUGCCAGCAGCCGCGGUAAUACGUAGGUGGCAAGCGUUGUCCGGAUUUAUUGGGCGUAAAGCGAGCGCAGGCGGUUUCUUAAGUCUGAUGUGAAAGCCCCCGGCUCAACCGGGGAGGGUCAUUGGAAACUGGGAGACUUGAGUGCAGAAGAGGAGAGUGGAGUUCCAUGUGUAGCGGUGAAAUGCGUAGAUAUAUGGAGGAACACCAGUGGCGAAGGCGGCUCUCUGGUCUGUAACUGACGAUGAGGCUCGAAAGCGUGGGGAGCAAACAGG
rnacentral:rRNA from 1 species